AUCUACCUUCAGGACGGGGACAACAGCUGGAAACGGCUGCUAAUACCCGAUAUGCCGAAAGGUGAAACGUUGUUUCGCCUGGAGAGGAGCUCGCGUCCGAUUAGCUAGUUGGUGGGGUAAAAGCUUACCAAGGCGACGAUCGGUAGCUGGUCUGAGAGGAUGAGCAGCCACACUGGAACUGAGACACGGUCCAGACUCCUACGGGAGGCAGCAGUGGGGAAUUUUCCGCAAUGGGCGAAAGCCUGACGGAGCAACGCCGCGUGGGGGAAGAAGGUUUUUGGAUUGUAAACCCCUUUUCUCAAGGAAGAACAAAAUGACGGUACUUGAGGAAUCAGCCUCGGCUAACUCCGUGCCAGCAGCCGCGGUAAUACGGAGGAGGCAAGCGUUAUCCGGAAUUAUUGGGCGUAAAGCGUUCGUAGGCGGCUGUUCAAGUCUGCUGUCAAAGACCGAGGCUCAACCUCGGGUCGGCAGUGGAAACUGGAUAGCUAGAGGUCGGUAGGGGCAGAGGGAAUUCCCAGUGUAGCGGUGAAAUGCGUAGAUAUUGGGAAGAACACCGGUGGCGAAAGCGCUCUGCUGGGCCGAACCUGACGCUGAGGGACGAAAGCUAGGGGAGCGAAUGGGAU
rnacentral:rRNA from 1 species